GGAAUGUGCCUGGCUCCCUGUAUGCCACUCAUCUAGAGCAACAAACUUCUGCGAGAGGUUGCCUAUGAUGGAUGGCGUGCACGGAGCCAAGCAUAUUCC
rnacentral:pre_miRNA from 3 species